UAUUUUAUUUUAUUUUAUUUUAAUUUUAUUUUUGAGAGAGAAGCAUGAGCAGGCAAGGGGCAGCAGGAGAGGGAGAGAGAGUCUCAAGCAGGCCCCAGAGACCGCACAGACACUGACCCAGGGCUCGAUCUCAUGACCCUGAGAUGACUUCAGUCAAAAUCAAAAGUCAGACGCCUAACCAACUGAGCCACCCAGGUGCCCUGUCGUCGUUUUUAUAUGGUGCUAUUAGACCAAUACUAAUGAAAAGGGAAUUAAUAAAUUAAGGUAACCACUUAAAGGUAAGACAAAAUAAAAACCUUUAAAAUGAUCAGAACACCUACAUGAGCAAAGGAAGUAAGUCCCAUCUUGGAAAUUAUUUUAAAGCGAUGGAAUAUAAAAUGGAUCGGUGGGAUUGAUGGAAAGAAAAAGUGUAAAAUGACGGCAGAGACAAAACCAAAGAGCUGUCUUUCCUCUAAAGGUAAGGGGCCUGGAUAUACUUAUUUAAAUAAAUAGCCUCAGGUAGGAUUAUAAGGAAAACCCAAGUGCACAUCAUAGAAAGAAGAUACCUUUUAAAGUGAUUUGAGACCGCUGAAACUAAAAGGAUGGGCAAAAGGUAGAUCAGUGGUACAGGCAGAAAAUGACAGUACAGUUAACAGUGCUGGGAGGAGAAUUUAUAGCCUUAAAUAUUUGUAUCAAGAAAUAGGAGAACAUGAAAUUGGCAAACAAGAAGAAAGCAGUAUUCGCAACCUCACUGUGAAGCUGAAUGGGAACAAAAAGCAUAAAAAAGAUAGAGUAUAUAAUUCAAGAUGGAGAUGUAAAAGUUAUGAAUAUGUAUGAAAUGAUCAAAUUUUUCUUAUAAUAAUUUGAAUAUAUAUGUGUAUGUAUAUGUGUGUGUGUGUGUGUGUGUAUGUUUUAAAAUUGUAGUUAGCAUACAGUGUAAUAUUAGUUCCAGGAGUACAAUUGAGUGAUUCAUCCCUUCCAUACAUCACAGGUGCUCAUCACCAUAAGGCCUCUACUUAACACCCGUCCCGUCCUCAUCUAGCCCCUCCCCCCACACCUCCCUCCCUCCAUAAACCCUCAGUUUGUUUCCCAUCAUUCACCGUCUCAUGGUUUGCUUCCCUCUCUUUUUUCCCCCCUUCCUCUAUGUUCAUCUGUUUUGUCUUAAACUCCACAUAUGAGUGAAAUCAUAUGGUAUUUGUCUUUCUCUAACUUCGCUUCACAUAAUUCCCUCUAGUUCCAUCCAUGUCAUUGCAAAUGGAAAGAUUUCAUCUUUUUUGAUGGCUGAAUAUUAUUCCAUUGUAUAUACACACCACUUCUUCUUUAUCUAUUCAUCAGCAGAUGGACAUUUGGGUUCUUUCCAUAGUUUGGCCAUGGGUGAUAAUGUUGCCAGAAAAAUCAGGGUGCAAGUACCCCUUCGAAUCAGUAUUUUUGUUUCUCUUGGAUAAAUAACUAUGAGUGCAAUUGCUGGGUCAUAUGGUAGUUUUGUUUUUAACUUUUUGAGAACCUCCAUACUCUCUUCCACAGUGCCUACACCAGGUAAAAUGAUCAAGUUUUUCUUAACAGAAAUUAGAAAAAGUACCAGGGGUGACAGAGAGAAACAAACUAGUAAGUGGAGUUUUUUUUUUUUUUUUUUUCCCCAGCCCAGGACAGAGCAAGUGCAUAAAAGAUAAAGGUUUAGAAGACCCGCACAUAAUAAAAUAACUUGACUCUUCUAUAUCAAAUUCUUGGCUUUUUUUAAGUUUCAGAAACAUUUACCAAAAUUAUGUUACUUACUCACUUAUUUAAUGUUUGUCUACUUCCACUAAAUCAUGAGCUCAACGAAAUGGGAAAGGAACUUGUCUUGUUAACCCUAUUUUCUCAGGAACUAACAGAGGUGACCAGAAAACAUUUUCAAAUAGGUGAGAGAACACUUGAUUCACAAAAGAAAAAUACAAAUGUCUAGCAAGUCCAUGGGGAGGAAAAGCACAACUUUAUAAACAAAGGUACUUCUGUUGAAGUAACAUUAGAAUCCCAUCUUACCUGUCAAAUUGGCACAACUUAAAAAACAUGCUGUAAGUCCUUGCUUCACUUAUAAAUGCAUACCUCAAUAAUGUGUUGAUCCUGCAAAAUGUCAAACAGAACAGAUAACACGAAGUAGUUCUUUGCAGUUCCUAAUCCCCUCAUUCGAACAUCCAAGGUGAGCCGUGACCUUGAGGAAAUGUACUACUCCUGUAAGGGUGUAAGGUCAUAUCCCAACUUUCCCCUUAUUUCAGUGGGUGGCCUGGCCUGAGGCAGGUUGCAUAUCUGUCCUGACAGGCCCCAAACAGAGGCCAAGCUCCUCCCCAACAGCUCCCAGGAGCUCUGUGCUUAGCUGUCUUUGCCCCCACAUCGUCAGUCUGCCCCAUCGGAAGCUCUCCCUCCACAGAGCAUCUCCCCAGGCUGGUGUUUAUCUUGCUGCUGACAUUUAAAUUUGCUACCUGGAACUCAGAGGACAUUUCCAUAAAACUAUAAAUGUUCAUAUUUCUAGAAAGGUCUACAGGGGUUACUGGUUCACUCGCCUACCUCUUCCUGCAGCACAGCACCCUCACAGAUUCUGAUUAAGUGGCUAAGAUCAGGACUCCAGCCUGCACCUGGGAAUGGGCCCCAAAUGUUGGUAUUAGCAAAACAGAACAGAAAGCAGGAGAAAAAGGAUUUUGAAGAAAAUUCCACAUCCAAAUAAGGAUGUCUUACUGUACUUCCUCCUUCAAGUUCAUCUGGGGAUUUGACCCCCUCUGCCUUCUAGUCUUACCACCUGCAGUAAUGAUAAGAACUCAUCUAAGCUACAUCCAGCGGGACGAUUUGAGUCCCCGUCCAUGAAGGAACCACGGGUUGGGGCAUAUGCCUACAUCCCUGUUCUUCUGGGUAAGAAUGAUGUCAAGGCCAGCUGUCAUGCUAAAACCCUUACAACUGCAUGUGUCCCUGAUGUGUGGGCUCCCACUAUGAUUAUUUGAGUAAAGACCUCUGGUUAAUGACAGUGAGCUGAGCACAUGCUCCCUCCUAAUGGUGAAACCAUGAACCAGGAUGAAGAGAAAGUGAGCGGAAUUAAGAGGAAGGACAUUUGGGAAGAUGGGGAAGCAAACAGAUUCAUGGUAACUGGCUUAGCAGACCCGAGCUCAGGAUGCUGAUAGGAAAGCAAGAACAGAGGCGUUUGAACACCAAGUCCAGAGGAGGCUGCAGACCCGCUGUUUGUAUCCCUUUCAAGUCAGGAGUGCGAAUGGACAUCUCCCUCUAGAAAUCCACUACAGUUCUAGAAGCUGCCUGAGUUUCUGGGCUCUGUGGUCCCCCUUCUCCACCUUCUCAGCCAACGACAGGCAUCUCUCCGAUCCUGCUGCGGGGACCAUUUCUCUCUCUGAACUUCGUUUUGUGCUUAUUUUUGUAAUCACUCACCGGGAAAGGACAUCUGUGUUGUUUCCAGUUUGGGGCUAUUAUGAAUAAAGCUGCUAUGAACAUUCA